GCAAUGAGCUCGUUAAUACGGGACACUUCGAUGGAUUGCAACGGUGGCUGGGCCUGCCUCAGCGGGGGCUUUUGGCGAGCGCACUCAACACAACCUUUGACCAUGUGGUAUCCUCUGACAUUCUGGGCCAAAAGAAGUCGCGCUUCAGGGUUAACAAGGUUUUACACACCCCAAGGUGCAUUAACUUCAUGUGGAUAGCCCGUGUAACUAUUCCCCGCAGAGCAGUUGGUACAUCAAUGCAGUAACGCUGCACUUGCUCAUCUCACCUCAUCAACAGCCCAUCACGAAGGACUAUGAGGGACAUUCCCGCUGGCACCUUUUUACCACCCCUCGUUCUGACUCGAUGCCGUAAUUUCAACAAGGAGGCAUCCACCUGGAGGCGGCCCCAUUCCCUGUGCGUGAGACCAAUCGUGUUGUCACAGGGAGUGGUUGCCAUGGGUUGUGGAACAUCAACCGAUGCUACAACAGGGCACGACAAUCCUGUAGCCGCAGGUUUACAUCGGCCGGCACCCAUCAAACAUGCACAGCGGUGCUUCGGCGAUAACCACGACAAUGCAUGACAGUGACGUGCACCUUUCCUGUAGGUGACCGUGAAGGAAUAAUCCUGCAAAAUUUCUAACCAGCGGGAGAGCUGGCCGGACAGCUGGUCAACCCGUAAUUCAUAUUGAAGAGCCGCGUGAUCCGUGCGCACAACAAAUUGCCUACCGUAAACGUAUGGUCUGUACUGCUGUACAAAAUGCACAAUAGCCAACAAUUUGCGGCGUGUCACACAAUAACGCUGCUCUGCGGGGGACAGCACAUGGCUCCCGUAAGCUAUGACAUUUUUUACUCCAUUCACUACCUCUGACAGUACAGCGCCAAUUCCGGUGUCGCUGGCGUCUGUAUCCAACACAAAUGGCAGAGAGAAAUCGGGGUACCCAAGGGGAGGCGCGUUGGUGAGGCCAUCGCGCAGCACGAGAAACGCAGCAUCCUCCUCUUCACCCCUUUAAAAUCUCUGGCCCUUUGCGGUUAGGGCUUGAAGCGGUUUGGAGAUCGUUGCAAACUUGGGUACGAAGUGCCGAUAAUAUGACGCGAACCCGACAAAACUGUGGACUGCAACUACCGACAUGGGGGUCGGCCAUGUGCGCACGCACGCAGUUUUGUCGGGAUCCGUGGCUAUCCCGGACUCGCUGACAAUGUGACCCAAAUAGCAAACCGAUGUCUGCAAGAGAUGACACUUUUGUGGCUUGAAUUUAAGAUUAGCCGCCCGCACCUUGACAAACACUGACCGCAACCGCUGCAGGUGCUCCUAGAACGUGCGCCUGAACACGAUUACAUCAUACAAAUAAAUUAGGCACGAGUCAAAUUGAAGACCUGCCAAAACCAGCUCCAUAAGUCGCUGGAACAUGGCCGGAGCCAAGUCCCAUCGGGAGACAGUUAAAUUGGAACAACCCCUGGGGUGUUCAAAAUGCUGUUUUAGGUUUGGAACUCUCAUCCAGAGGCAAUUGCUAAAAACCCAUACACAUAGUCGAGGGUGGAGAAAAACCGCGCACCCAACAGGGCAUCCAAGGAGUCGUCCAUCCGUGGGAGCGGGUAUGCAUCCGCCAUGGAGACUUAAUUCACAUUGCGGAAAUCCACACAAAAACGCAAACUUCCAUCCUGCUUUUUAACCAGGACAAUGGGGAGAUGUCGGCGGGCAACAUCUCGUCGACCGCCUGGCGAACAUGGUCCUUUUCCUUGGGACUGAGCCUGUACGAUUUCUGGCAUAUAGGAGCAGCAUUACCCAUAUCGAUGCGGUCCUGCAAUAGUGAUGUGCGGCCAAAAUCAUAUUUCCCCUGACUAAAAACGUCAGAAAAUUCCCAGAGCAAUGCACGCAACUCGCCCCGCUGCUCGCCGGACAAUUUAGAAUUUUCUUUACCGAGUGCAUCCAUCCAAGCCUCAUCUGACUUGCCUCCCCGCUCCACUGUGGCAGCGACCUCUGUGUGGCCAUAUCGCUGGCCCCCUCACAACACGCGGCCGUCGCGUGGGCCAAAACCGUACUUGCCUGGACAACCGCGACACCCAGUCCAACAUUUAACACUUGUAGAAAAGGGUCCUGGUUCCCCCUAACUAUCGUCUGGGCCCCCACAAACGCGAUACCUCGAACCGCUCUGUUUGAAGGGGUUAAAAGAACCCCUCGCGCGGUGUCUUUGCGAUCAAGCUGCUUCCGCAGCCACAAGGAUACCAACAUCUGAGCACCAGGAGGAACCGUGACAGUCUCCUUCACUAGGGCCUGAACUGUGGUGUUGGCCCUUCUCUAUCGAGUCGGGGACUUCAAAAAUGCCAAUCUCCGCCCUGACGGCAGUUCAAUCCACCCUUGAUCCACCAAGAUCUUAAGGGGCAUCCUUCCAAGGAAAUCAGUGCCCAAUAAGCAGGGCACAGCCAACGUCUUAGAGACUAACACUGGGCAUGCGAAUUCAAUGUCCCCGAUUCAUACUUUCGCCAAUAUCUGGCCCAUAAUACCCAAACUCCCGCCAUUAGCGGCGACACACACAUUAUUCACCGGAUUAAGACCUCGACGGAAAAGACUUAUGAAUAAAUUCCGAAAUAAUACGAGCGGAUGCUCCCGUAUCAAUAACACCCUUAGCUCAACACCCUGCACGAACCCAAUAACUGCUGAUGAUCCCGCUGCAGCUGCCACGACAUGAUGCGCCAACACGGUGCACUGCCCCGCGCCCCGCGGCCAACCGACACCCGCUGAAGUCCGGCGUUCGCAUGCCGUGACAUGAUGAUAGAUGACGGUGUGAGAACCCGACAUGCUCAGAGAGUGAAAUGCAUGAAGUGAAUGUGGCGGCCGAGUGUCCGAUGCAUCACGACUUGCCUGUGGGCCUGGGGAAACGGAGGUCGACAAGGUGGGAGAUGGCGAAGGCAACAAGAACGAUCCAGGGUCGGCGCGGCAUCCCUUGGAGAUGUGGCCCUGCAGGCUGCACUUAAAGCAAGUGACCAGGGACCUCCACGUUGGAGGAGGGGUCCCGCUUCGUCGUUCUCGCUCCUGUCGUUGUCCCACACCAUCCUUCCCGUGCGAGCUCCUGACGAACAAAGCGCAGACUUGGACUGGCUCCUGACGCUCCGGCUCGUCCUCGUCCUCCGUGAACCCCGUGCAGGCGGCCACCCCGGGCCACCGCUGUAAGUUGAAAUGGGCUUGGAUGCAUCGGGCUACCUUCAACGAUGUCAAGUUGUCCUCCUCCAUGGCAGGUAGAGAGACACCCAUCUUCUGGGCCAGCGACAGCAAACUCUCCAGCGCCAGAGAUUCCAGCGCCGUCUGCUCCAUCCGCGGAUAUGCGGCAUGGCCCAGUCACAGCAGCGCGCUGUGAAAGGCCAGGAGCGUCUUGGUCUUCCCCCGUCUUCGCAGCACACAUUUCUGACGUGCGUUGGAUGGUGGGUCAAAAAUAGCAGCUAUCUGGGCAGAAGCUUGAGGCAGCGUCGCACUGUCCGCCGUGGGGAUGGCAUUGAAUGCCGCCAGGGAGUCAUCAUCCAAGGUGGUGGGGAGAGCCCGCAGCGUCGGACCAUCCUGUGGGAGCGCAAGCAGCAGUGAAACGGCGCUGAAAAGCAGUCCAGUCGCCCCCCGCAGCCACAAAUUCCCCGAUUAUCGGCAGCCGCUUUUGAAGAGAAGGCACCUCCGGACGAGACGCCGACGGCAAGUCGAAUUUAGCGGGAAGCGUUUCCGACCCAGUUGAAAAAAUGGCGGCCGAAUUUGGCGAUCAGCUCAUGGCGGGCAAAAUGGCGGCUGCUUGCGCAGGCUGGAGCUCCGCCAAUUCCUGCACUUGGCCGAUGGCGACGGUCAUGCUGCCCGGCCGAUGCCCCCAUGCUGCAGCAUCCUUGGCAGGCGCAGCAACCCUGAGCUGGGCAAGCAGCUCCGCUGCAGCAGAGAGCAAGUCCAUUAGUAGUACAUUGCGCUCGCGCCAUCCUUCUCCGGUCGGCGGCAGCGAGGAGUCAAUGUCCAUCUCAUGUUGCUUCGCAGGGAUUGCCGCCUCAGGACCAAUCUCCGGGCUUCUCAAUUCCAGGGCUGUCGGGAUCACAUCCUCGUCGUCCUCUUAACCCGAGGACACAAUAGUUGGAGUCUUCUUCUUGGCCAACUUGGACACACUUAAUAAGUAUUUAAUACUUUUGACUCCAAAUGUAGUGGCUGACUCAGAGACACUAAGAGUAGGAGGAACUCUGUUUAUUAACAGCCUUAAGAGUUUACAUAAAGUAACUAUAGCGGCCAGUCAGGACAGCUGGCAGACUGCCUGACUGACGAUGCCGAGAUUGUGAAGACGUAGACGGCGAUGAAGACUCCAGCAGCACGACAGGAUCCCACUCCAAACGACAGCCCCGAGCUCCUGCUCGGGGGCCCCCCUUUAUCCUCCCAGCGUGGCCUCGCUCUGCCCUGGCCACGCCCCCUUUCUAGAACCUACUAGCGGGUUCCUGGGCUUCCUCACGCGCCCCUUCUGUAACCGAUAUAACGGGGGGCCCGUGAGGGGCUCGAGGUUCUUCGGGUUGCUGGUGAAGAAGAUCCACAUCGGGUUAAAGAAGCCUCUAGCCACGCGGUCCGGGAUCCAGCUUGUGGUCCGGGCCGGGAUCGCGAACCGGGUCUAGUUCUGCCGUAGAUGGGCAGUCAACACCCAAGUGUAGGUUGUGUUAUGUUAUGUUGAGUUGGUGAAAUAAAUAGUGUUGCUCCCAAGACAACGUCUGCGACUCAGUUUGACUCACUACAUAUGUAUGAACUAAAGUAUCCCAACAAUGCUAACAUGGUUGUGGCGUAGAAUGGGCUGGUUAUUAAAAAUGUUAUAUAAUUCACAUGUGUAUUGUUUUUUAAUGAUUUCCAGUGGUUUUUUUGCAGGUGUAUUGAUAAUUGUAAUCGGAAGUUUACCUCUCCAAUGCCACUGAUACUUUUAGUCAACUGCUUGAACUGUUUUGAUGAUGUAAUUACCUACCACUGGAAAAUGGUGAAUCUAUCAGAUGUUUAUUUUAAAGAGAUGACUUCUACAGGUAUAUAUAAUGAAGGCAUAGUGGUUAAUGAACACGCUUUGAAAGGAGGAAACACAUUCGAAAUCAACGUUACGGGUAGAGUCCCAAACAGAAAUAUGGCAGAAGUCAUGUACAGGUUUACAACGAGCCUUUAUCCCAGCAAUGGCUCCUGUACAAGUGACCCACCAACAGGUUUGGCAGGAGUCACAUUCUUCAAACUCACAUGUGAAAACUGGUCUCAGAAAGGCAUCGGAAAUAAUAAGGUGUUGUACUCAUAUACAGCGAAGUCGGGCAACGUUGAUUACUACCUGCUCAACACCAAGUUGGACAGGUCGCCCAAACUCCUGUUGCCCGCGGGAGAUCUGGAUCCUCAAGGGCUGCUGGACCUUCAAGUGAUCGUGUGCAACCCUUACGGAUCCUGUUCGUCGUUCCCAAUACCUGUGCAUGUGACAUCUCCUCCACCGGACCAACUGAAAGACAACAUCCGCAAGAUGCUAGCGCCAGGAGGCGCAAUCCAGGAGAUUGCAAAUACGAGCAGUGGCACUUUGCUUGGGGUCAUAGUGACUGCAACGGAGGCUCUAAAGAAUGUAGUUAAUGAAACAGAAAAAAAAGAGCUUAUAGCAGAGCUUGCCAAGGAAAUAUUAUCAUCCAACGCCAGCAUGCAGGAUGAAAGUUCAGUUUUGCAAUACGCUUUUUCUUUGACUUCCAUGGCUCAGAAUUCUCAACCUGAAGACCAGGCUGUCUUCUUAAAUGCCGAAAUAUAUUUUUUGAAAAAGAUCAGUUCCAUGAAAAACAUUGGGAAAAUUGCUCUUCUGCAGACCAUUGAAGAGAUGGUUAGAAUCAGUGCAAAUGCAUUUCAGGCACAUUUGAAUUCCCAAGAUGACAUUAACAGCACAUUGUCAUCUUUGGCUAAAAAUGAUUCAUAUUUGAAAAAGUCCUUUGAUGAUAUCUACCAAUCGCUAUUGCUUAUAGCACAAGUACAAAGUCAGAAAUCAGUGCCAAUUGAAGAGCCUGUCGCACUGAGCUCAAAAAACAUAUCCAUCGUAAUGCAAACUGUUUCCGGCACCACACUUCUCAACGCAAGCUGGCAAACAACGGAUGGGAGCAGCACUUCGCUCAUUGUGCAUGAUCCGUUACCUUUCAUCAGGCAAAGGGGCAGAGUGAAUGUCAUGGUAACAGCAUUCGGUGAAAACCCAUUUUUGUGGAAUAAAGAUUCUCCUGUAAACAGUUCAGUCGUCAGCUUCAAAAUUAGCAUGGCGAAACAAGUAAUUAAUACCACCUCUGCAUUAAUAAAGUUGAAAAAUAAAAUAACUGUAGGGCAGAAGAUUUCAUUACCUAUAAAUACAAAAAAUGGCACAAUGGAAAGUAAAGCGUUUGCCACUGAAAGUAGUGGCAUGCCCAUUAUGUUGGAUAUCACUUCAACCAGUGAAAUUAUAAAUGAAGCAGAAAUCGUUGUACGGUUUGGAAAACAGCCGGAGUCUGAUCCACAGCUUUAUGACUACCGCUUCGCUGCCAACUCACAAUCAUCAAACAGUGGCAAACUGAAAAAAAUAAAGAAAAGGGCAAUUGAUGCCAAACAGAAAAAUAAUACGGAAACGACACUUCUCACUUGGCCUUCAUUUUUCAUCGCUCGUAAUUCAACACAGCAAGGAGCGCUGUACAUUGCUCUUUUGUAUACAGGUCGUAACUACACACUCAUUAAUCAAACUGUGGAAGUGACUAUACGGCAAAUUUCUUGCAAAUGGAGGUACAGCACCAGUGACAAUUGGAACUCCUCCUUUACAGAGGUUAAGUCCAACUCCAGACGGGAGGUGACGAGCUGCGUAGUUGGCAGGAACGAGACAGGUGGACAUUUGGACUUCAUCCAAGAAAACGUCUUCGUCGCAGCAGAGUUUCUGACGCCAAACAUGAUCGAUUUUACAACGGUGUUCACAAAGUUCAACCUGGAGACAAAUGGCGCCGUUUUUGCGACCGUCACCAUCAUGGUCUUGCUCUACAUCAUCGUGCUGCUGUGGGCGAGAAACCAAGACGCAAGAGACGCACAGAAGAGCAAAGUUUUCUACAUGGAGGACAUGAAUGAAAACUACACGAGCCUGCUAUUGUUACGAAUGGCAACAGCAACGACAAAUGAUCCAAAAGUAGUAUCGAGAGCCUACUUCAACCUCUACUUUGAUGACAUUGAAUUAGGAGAAAGACAGCUCACUCAUCCACAAUUAGAGGCAUAUGAAAGUGGGAUCAUAUAUAACUUCAUAUUCUCCAAACCUGAAUACUGUGGAAAGCCAACCCACAUUAAACUUUGGCUGAACAGGUGACAAUGUCGGCGAUACCUGGAACAUCAGGAAAAUGUCAUUGUUUGAUCAAGAAAAUCAAGAAGUAUAUUUUUUUGGUGAAAAUUCAAUGCCCCUUUUACCUUUUGACAUUAACUGUUCUUGCAAGACGUUCAAAGUCCAGGAAGACAUUGCUCUGUUUACAAAUACGUGGAUGGCAAACAGAGCAAUAAAGGGCAACUUUUCUGAAGAUCACCUUUGGAUGUCCGUUUUCAUCCGCCCAUUCAAGACCAAUUUCUCCCGCGUGCAUCGCAUCUCCUGCUGCGUCACGCUCCUCUUCCUCAUGAUGAUGGCCAACGCCAUGUGGUUUGGCAAGAAGCAGGCAGCCAGCGAGGCGGGCGGUGGGGUCACGGUGGGGCCGCUGUCUCUCACCGACGUCCUCAUCAGCCUCCUCAGCAGCCUGGUGGAGGUGCCUGUCAGCCUCGUGGUCGUGCUCAUAUUCCGCAAUAGCCGCUCGGAGAGUGAGCGGUCUCCAGGCCAGAAGAGCUCCUGGAGGGGCCCUUGGCCUGGUGGCUGCAGAUGCGUAGCCUGGUGUCUCGUGGUCCUCGCUGUCCUGAGCUCUGGCUUCUUCACGAUCCUCUACAGCAUGGAGUGGGGCUCAGAGAAGGCCAACCGGUGGCUCAUUCGAUUCCUCAUAUCGUUCAUUAUGUCUAUUGCCUUGAUCCAACCCAUAAAGAAUGUCCUCAGUGCCGUUGUAAAGUAUAUACUGUGGAAGAAGGUAACACGAUUUCUGAACACGGAGGUAUUAAAAUCAUAUGUAGAAGUUCUAAGUGCAGGGCAAACAAAUACAACGAAAGGAACAUCUAUGCAAAGCCCAGCACGCAUUAUUUUUGGACAGACUUUGCAAAGUAUUUUGAGCAUCAAGCUCUUCUUGAAAUGUCCUCCAGCUGAUCGCAUUGUUCUUUGCCGCUUACACACACGUGAAUGGUUUUGACAUUCAUUUAAAAAAAAAUGUGCAAAACAUUUUCAUCACGGGAAAAUAUGAAAAUAUCGAUGAUGCCCCCGGCUAUUGGGACUGGAUGUUUGGCUCACUCUUACCAAAUAUGAAACAAAGCAGUAGCAAUGUAAAGACAGCCAACACCUUUCUGUCCAAAAUGCAUUCCCCUGAGAUGGUUUUGGUUGGCUCAGUGUGGCUAAGGCAGCUGAGAUACACAAAAGGACCAUUUGAGAUGAAGUAUUUGAAGAUGUUGCAAGAUGUUAAACACUCUCCGCCAGUAGUGGACAUCAAAAACUAUGCAGAGGCCUGGGUACCAUCAAACACAACAGGAGGAGAUUACAGAGACAAAUACUGGAUCUUCCAGAAUAUGCCAGACGAG